GAUAUACUCCAUUUGUCCGGAAAUAUUUGUCGGAUAAAUGAAUAAAAAUGGAUGUAUACAAAACUAAAAUACAUCUAGAUACAUCCAUUUCUCCAAUAAAUAUUUCUGGAUGGAGGAAGUAUUAU
rfam:Hordeum vulgare subsp. vulgare, WGS project CAJW01000000 data, contig: morex_contig_5623